CCUACGGGAGGCAGCAGUGAGGAAUAUUGGUCAAUGGGCGCUAGCCUGACCCAGCCAAGCAGCGUGAAGGAUGACUGCCCUAUGGGUUGUAAACUUCUUUUAUAUGGGAAUAAAGUGCAGUAUGUAUACUGCUUUGCAUGUACCUUACGAAUAAGGAUCGGCUAACUCCGUGCCAGCAGCCGCGGUAAUACGGAGGAUCCGAGCGUUAUCCGGCUUUAUUGGGUUUAAAGGGAGCGUAGGCGGGUUGUUAAGUCAGUUGUGAAAGUUUGCGGCUCAACCGUAGAAGUGCAGUUGAUACUGGCAGCCUUGAGUGCAGGAGAGGUAGGCGGAAUUCGUGGUGUAGCGGUGAAAUGCGUAGAUAUCAGGAAGAACACCGAUUGCGAAGGCAGACUGCUGGACGGUAACUGACGCUGAGGCUCGAAAGUGUGGGGAGCAAACAGGAUUAGAUACCCCAGUAGUC
rnacentral:rRNA from 1 species